CCUACGGGAGGCAGCAGUGGGGAAUUUUGGACAAUGGGCGCAAGCCUGAUCCAGCCAUGCCGCGUGCAGGAUGAAGGCCUUCGGGUUGUAAACUGCUUUUGUACGGAACGAAAAGGUCUUUUUAAUAAAGAGGGCCCAUGACGGUACCGUAAGAAUAAGCACCGGCUAACUACGUGCCAGCAGCCGCGGUAAUACGUAGGGUGCAAGCGUUAAUCGGAAUUACUGGGCGUAAAGCGUGCGCAGGCGGUAAUGUAAGACAGAUGUGAAAUCCCCGGGCUCAACCUGGGAACUGCAUUUGUGACUGCAUUGCUGGAGUGCGGCAGAGGGGGAUGGAAUUCCGCGUGUAGCAGUGAAAUGCGUAGAUAUGCGGAGGAACACCGAUGGCGAAGGCAAUCCCCUGGGCCUGCACUGACGCUCAUGCACGAAAGCGUGGGGAGCAAACAGGAUUAGAUACCCUGGUAGUCCACGCCCUAAACGAUGUCAACUGGUUGUUGGGUCUUCAUUGACUCAGUAACGAAGCUAAACGCGUGAAGUUGACCGCCUGGGGAGUUACGGCCGCAAGGUUGAAACUUCAAAUUGAAUUGACGGCUUGAGACGNGCGAGNGACACGAGGAGGAGG
rnacentral:rRNA from 1 species